GAACCGGGGGUUACCUAACGAAUAAGCACCGGCUAACUCCGUGCCAGCAGCCGCGGUAAUACGUUAGGGUGCAAGCGUUACUCGGAAUCACUGGGCGUAAAGGACGCGUAGGCGGAUUAUCAAGUCUUUUGUGAAAUCUAAUGGCUCAACCAUUAAACUGCUUGAGAAACUGAUAAUCUAGAGUGAGGGAGAGGCAGAUGGAAUUGGUGGUGUAGGGGUAAAAUCCGUAGAGAUCACCAGGAAUACCCAUUGCGAAGGCGAUCUGCUGGAACUUAACUGACGCUAAUGCGUGAAAGCGUGGGGAGCAAACAGGAUUAGAUACCCUGGUAGUCCACGCCCUAAACGAUGUAUACUAGUUGUUGCUG
rnacentral:rRNA from 1 species